GAUUACAUAACAGCCCCGAGGCGCGCUAUCGCGAUAUUUCCACCGCCCCCGCCUACUUCCACGUCAGAGGGAACCGGGCGGAGCGGCCAACAUGGCGGAACGCAGGCGACACAAGAAGCGGAUUCAGGAAGUUGGUGAACCAUCUAAAGAAGAGAAGGCUGUAGCCAAGUUUCUUCGAUUUAACUGUCCAACAAAGUCCACCAAUAUGAUGGGUCACCGGGUUGAUUAUUUUAUUGCUUCAAAAGCAGUGGAUUGCCUUUUGGAUUCAAAGUGGGCGAAGGCCAAGAAAGGAGAGGAAGCUUUAUUUACAACGAGGGAGUCUGUGGUUGACUACUGCAACAGGCUUUUAAAGAAACAGUUUUUUCAUCGGGCACUAAAAGUAAUGAAAAUGAAGUAUGAGAAAGACAUAAAAAAAGAAAAAGAGAAAGGAAAAGCUGAAAGUGGAAAAGAAGAAGAUAAAAAGAGCAAGAAAGAAAAUCUAAAGGAUGAAAAGACAAAAAAGGAAAAAGAAAAAAAGAAAGAUGGUGAAAAGGAAGAAUCCAAAAAGGAGGAAACUCCUGGAACUCCCAAAAAGAAGGAAACUAAGAAAAAAUUCAAGCUUGAGCCACAUGAUGAUCAAGUUUUUCUGGAUGGAAAUGAGGUAUUUGUGUGGAUCUAUGACCCAGUUCACUUUAAAACAUUUGUCAUGGGAUUAAUCCUUGUGAUUGCAGUGAUAGCAGCCACCCUCUUCCCUCUUUGGCCAGCAGAAAUGAGAGUAGGUGUUUAUUACCUCAGUGUGGGUGCAGGCUGUUUUGUAGCCAGCAUUCUUCUCCUUGCUGUUGCUCGUUGCAUUCUAUUUCUCAUCAUUUGGCUCAUAACUGGAGGAAGGCACCAUUUUUGGUUCUUGCCAAAUCUGACUGCUGACGUGGGCUUCAUUGACUCCUUCAGGCCUCUGUACACACAUGAAUAUAAAGGACCAAAAGCAGACUUAAAGAAAGAUGAGAAGUCUGAAACCAAAAAGCAGCAGAAGUCCGACAGUGAGGAAAAGUCAGACAGUGAGAAAAAGGAAGAUGAGGAAGGAAAAGUAGGACCAGGAAAUCAUGGAACAGAAGGCUCAGGUGGAGAACGGCAUUCAGACACAGACAGUGACAGGCGAGAAGAUGACCGAUCCCAACACAGUAGUGGAAAUGGGAAUGAUUUUGAAAUGAUCACAAAAGAGGAACUGGAACAGCAAACAGAUGGGGAUUGUGAAGAGGAGGAAGAAGAAGACAAUGACGGAGAAACAACUAAAUCUUCACAUGAAAAAUCAUAAUCUGACUAAUUUGGGGACUAAAUAAGUGCAAGAGGUUGGAUUUUCUAGGUUGGCUGAUCAUCAUAAUGUACACGUGACAUUUGUAGCAUUCUUUAAAUCCAUUUACUGAAGUGGAUUUGUCAUCCAAGCAGUUAUAUUCAGCCCCUCAUUUCAUGUAAUACUAUUAUUGGUACAGUCUAAAGCCAUUUGAAAUCCAAAUUGAUUUGUACGACUGAUUCAGAGUAAGGUGGUCAUCUCCAACAGAGGAAGCAAGAAGCAUUGGCUGGAAGGUGAUGGCUCUUCUUCCCAUUUCCUUGUCGUAAAGUAAAAUGUAUUCUGUACAUAAUUUACAAAUAAACAUUUUAUUUUAAUUGA